GACGAACGCUGGCGGCGUGCUUAACACAUGCAAGUCGUGCGGUAAGGCCCUUUCGGGGGUACACGCGCGGCGAACGGGUGAGUAACACGUGCGCAACAUGCCCUCCCCUUUGGGAUAACUGCCGGAAACGGUGGCUAAUACCGGACAUGACUUCCCCCCGCAUGUGGGGUGGUGGAAAGACUUCGGGUGGUGGGGGGUGGGCUCGCGGUGUAUCAGCUUGUUGGUGGGGUGAUGGCUUACCAAGGCUUCGACGGGUAGCCGGCCUGAGAGGGUGACCGGCCACACUGGGACUGAGACACGGCCCAGACUCCUACGGGAGGCAGCAGUGGGGAAUAUUGGACAAUGGGCGAAAGCCUGAUGCAGCAACGCCGCGUGAGGGAUGACGGCCUUCGGGUUGUAAACCGCUUUCGCCUGCGACGAAGCGUGAGUGACGGUAGCAGGUAAAGAAGCACCGGCCAACUACGUG
rnacentral:rRNA from 1 species